GACAGAGGGUGCAAACGUUGUUCGGAAUACUGGGCGUAAAGCGCGUGUAGGCGGCUUGGCAAGUCGGGUGUGAAAGCCCCGGGCUCAACCUGGGAAGUGCACUCGAAACUGACUUGGCUUGAGUACUGGAGAGGGAAGCGGAAUUCUCGGUGGUAGAGGUGAAAUUCGUAGAUAUCGGGAGGAACACCGGUGGCGAAGGCGGCGACCUGGGUGGAUACUGACGCUGAGGUGCGAAAGCGUGGGGAGCAAACAGG
rnacentral:rRNA from 1 species